rnacentral:rRNA from 1 species
AGUGAACGCUGGCGGUAGGCCUAACACAUGCAAGUCGAACGGCAGCACAGUAAGAGCUUCCCUUAAGGGGGGCGAGUGGCGGGAGGGUGGGGGAUAACUCGGGAUCUAACUUUUCGGGGGGGGUAACGUUAGGGAAAUUUAGCCAAAUACCCAAAAGGCCUACCGGGGGAAAGAGGGGGUCUUCGGACCUUUCGCCGAUGGAUUAACCGAUGUCGGAUUAGCUAGUUGGCGGGGUAAAGGCCCACCAAGGCGACGAUCCGUAGCUGGUCUGAGAGGAUGAUCAGCCACACUGGAACUGAGACACGGUCCAGACUCCUACGGGAGGCAGCAGUGGGGAAUAUUGGACAAUGGGCGCAAGCCUGAUCCAGCCAUACCGCGUGGGUGAAGAAGGCCUUCGGGUUGUAAAGCCCUUUUGUUGGGAAAGAAAAGCAGCAGGUUAAUACCCCGCUGUUCUGACGGUACCCAAAGAAUAAGCACCGGCUAACUUCGUG